CCUGAACAAUUUAUAUCUAUUAUUACUACAAACUGAAUAUAGACUAUGAACCAUAUUCCAAGUAUGGCAGAAUUGACCACAACUGAUCUUGUACAUUUUAAACAGCAUGCCAGUAUAACUCUUUUUUUCAUCAAGGAUCAAUUCUUUCACCGUGUUUUCCCCCUUCAAGACACGAUAACAAAUACCAACAAUACUCCAACCCUAGGAGUCACCAGUCAGGCUACAUGGACUUGUGAUAAAUAAUGAUUCCUGAAUUGCUGUGUUCGUAUCUAUGGCAAAGUAGCAUGCUAGUUGUACUGUUUGUUUUAUCAGAUAUCAAAUAAAAAUACCUUCUUUUUGAGUUUUUCGUUUCUUUUAACAGAAUAUAUACUCUUUCAAAGUUGUAGCGGUAGCCGGUAAAUCUCCAUAUAAUUAGUUUCAGGUUCAUCAAGUCCAAUAAGAUGUAAACAUAAAGGUGAAGACAAUGUGCUAUGAACUGAUAUUUUAGGGUAAGGGUAAUCUAGGUAGUUUUGUUAAGAAAAUUACUCUAUAUAUAGGGUUAAGGAGAGAGAAGAAAGUAUGCUGAAAAUUGUUAAGGAAAUAUUGGGUGAGCUUUUGAAGUUCAAUGGGAGAACAAGCCUCUCGAAAGCUUGUAACUAUCAUUUUAUAUUGCUGUAAUUUCUGUUUUUCAAUCAAAUACUCAUUUUCUUCCUUAAUUUCUGCCAUUAAAGUGUCCAAGCUAUGUCAGUUCUUAGCACAAUGUCACCCUAAAUCUGGAGCAGUUUGCUCCUAGUUUAUACUCCGUUAAUCAGCAUCAGUUCUGCUAGUCUGCUCCUAUCCCCCCACCCCCAUUCCCAUCAAAACAACAGACCCAAUUCUGCAACUCCAGAAACUGCCUGGCAAUCACAGUAAUUUAAGUUUUAAACCGAAUCUUGAUAAAGUUUACAUCCUUUCAGUAGAUUGGGUUUAGGAGCAGACAGCAGUAAGUGUUUAAGCUUACUGUGGAUAUAUAUUACUAAAUGUCAGCUAAACCAUGCAUAAAGCUUAUAAAGAUCAAAAGAGAGGAAUAUUAGUUUAUAAAAAUAAUUGUAAGCAACCAGCCAACCACUUUGGUAACAACGAUAUCAAAGCCUAUAUAUCCCACAAGAUGGGGACGGCUGUAUGAACAUUCAGCUCCAGAACAAAAAGGGUCACUUUGUCAGGAAAGAUCUUCCAAUACAAAGCUCACAAAGCCUUAAAUUCCCAGUGUAUACUUGGAAGAUUCUCUUCCUAGUACCAAAAUUCCCGUUCAAGUUGAUUUACUUUUGGGAUUUAAAUUUGAUGCUAAAUCUGAAGUUUGCAAUUCUCUGCUUCUGUCAAAGUUUUAGAGUUAGGUUAUUGCUUAUAUCCACCAAAACCUCCAAAUCCUGUACACCUAUGCUAGGAGGAACAAGAAGCAGGCUAGCAGGGGUACUGAAGUAAUUAGCAAGGCCACUGAAGUAAUUGCCAAUCAGCCAGGUGGAAAUGGUUCUUUGACAGAGGGUAGUUAGGCUCAGCCAAUAUUCUGCUAUAUAGUACAAUCAUUCAGAAAAGUUUUGAGUAUUGGGACAGAAUCUACACCUCUUGAAAGUCUGGAAUUGUAUCUGAGAUUUCUCAUUUAAUACAAUCUAGCCUUUGUUGCUAAUA